AUUGAACGCUGGCGGAAUGCUUUACACAUGCAAGUCGAACGGCAGCACGGACUUCGGUCUGGUGGCGAGUGGCGAACGGGUGAGUAAUGUAUCGGAACGUGCCCAGUCGUGGGGGAUAACGUAGUGAAAAUUACGCUAAUACCGCAUACGAUCUAUGGAUGAAAGCGGGGGAUCGCAAGACCUCGCGCGAUUGGAGCGGCCGAUAUCAGAUUAGGUAGUUGGUGGGGUAAAGGCCCACCAAGCCAACGAUCUGUAGCUGGUCUGAGAGGACGACCAGCCACACUGGAACUGAGACACGGUCCAGACGCCUACGGGAGGCAGCAGUGGGGAAUUUUGGACAAUGGGCGAAAGCCUGAUUCAGCCAUUCCGCGUGCAGGAUGAAGGCUCUCGGGUUGUAAACUGCCUUUGUACAGAACGAAAAGGUUUCUACUAAUACUAGGAGCUCAUGACGGUACUGCAAGAAUAAGCACCGGCUAACUACGUGCCAGCAGCCGCCGUAA
rnacentral:rRNA from 1 species